rnacentral:rRNA from 1 species
UACGUAGGGGGCAAGCGUUGUCCGGAUUUACUGGGCGUAAAGAGCGUGUAGGCGGCCAAACAGGUCCGUUGUGAAAACUGGAGGCUCAACUUCCGGACGUCGACGGAAACCGUGUGGCUAGAGUCCGGAAGAGGAGAGUGGAAUUCCUGGUGUAGCGGUGAAAUGCGUAGAUAUCAGGAGGAAUACCGGUGGCGAAAGCGGGUCUCUGGGCCGGAACUGACGCUAAGGAGCGAAAGCGUGGGGAGCGAACAGG